GGCCGUACAAGUGAAAUCUUCGGUGGGAUUUUUCUUUCCUCGGUACUAUUUUUGUCUCUUGAGAUCUUCUGUAUUAAUAAGGUGCCGCCCAUGUGCAAAUGUGCUACACUGCUGUACUAGGCUUUGCAUCUCUUUCAUACACUGUAAAUGUUUCUUCAGGGUCAUCUAAUGUUUUCGCACAAUGAGCUUGAGGUGGGGGAUGUCCUGAGUUAUAGGUCUGCAUAUCGUAUAUCUGUUGGCUUGUUGCUUUUUUCCAGCGGCAGCUGGAGCACUUAUCUGAGACUGUACUAGAUAUAUAGCUGCCAGGACCUUAUGGAACCAUAGAACACACAUACUUUUCAAGAAAUUCUUAAGGCAAGGUCAUGAUUGACACAUCACAGACCAAUUAAGACUUAGCAAAGAAUGUUAAGCUAGAGACUGGAAGAUGUCUCAAGAAUACUUUUGAUACACAUAUGGAGUAAAUAUGGUUUUUCCUUCUUUUCCUGAGUUUCUGGAUAUAACAGUUUUCUGUAGAUUAUGCAAGCUUUUCUCAUUGCUAUAUGUGAUAUUUAGGCAUUUUGGGUGCCUUGGAUUGUC